GCCUUCGGGUUGUAAACCUCUUUCAGUAGGGAAGAAGCGAAAGUGACGGUACCUGCAGAAGAAGCGCCGGCUAACUACGUGCCAGCAGCCGCGGUAAUACGUAGGGCGCAAGUGUUAUCCGGAAUUAUUGGGCGUAAAGAGCUCGUAGGCGGUUUGUCGCGUCUGCCGUGAAAGUCCGGGGCUCAACUCCGGAUCUGCGGUGGGUACGGGCAGGCUAGAGUGAUGUAGGGGAGACUGGAAUUCCUGGUGUAGCGGUGAAAUGCGCAGAUAUCAGGAGGAACACCGAUGGCGAAGGCAGGUCUCUGGGCAUUAACUGACGCUGAGGAGCGAAAGCAUGGGGAGCGAACAGGAUUAGAUACCCUGGUAGUCCAUGCCGUAAACGUUGGGCACUAGGUGUGGGGGACAUUCCACGUUUUCCGCGCCGUAGCUAACGCAUUAAGUGCCCCGCCUGGGGAGUACGGCCGCAAGGCUAAAACUCAAAGGAAUUGACGGGGGCCCGCACAAGCGGCGGAGCAUGCGGAUUAAUUCGAUGCAACGCGAAGAACCUUACCAAGGCUUGACAUGGACCGGACCGCCGCAGAGAUGUGGUUUCUCCUUUUGGGGCCGGUUCACAGGUGGUGCAUGGUUGUCGUCAGCUCGUGUCGUGAGAUGUUGGGUUAAGUCCCGCAACGAGCGCAACCCUCGUUCCAUGUUGCCAGCGCGU
rnacentral:rRNA from 1 species